rnacentral:rRNA from 1 species
AGAUUGAACGCUGGCGGCAUGCCUUACACAUGCAAGUCGAACGGCAGCACGGGAGCAAUCCUGGUGGCGAGUGGCGAACGGGUGAGUAAUACAUCGGAACGUGCCCAAUCGUGGGGGAUAACGCAGCGAAAGCUGUGCUAAUACCGCAUAAGAUCUACGGAUGAAAGCAGGGGAUCGCAAGACCUUGCGCGAAUGGAGCGGCCGAUGGCAGAUUAGGUAGUUGGUGGAAGGUAAGGCU